rnacentral:rRNA from 1 species
UACGUAGGGUGCGAGCGUUGUCCGGAAUUACUGGGCGUAAAGAGCUCGUAGGUGGUUUGUCGCGUUGUCCGUGAAAACUCACAACUCAAUUGUGGGCGUGCGGGCGAUACGGGCAGACUGGAGUACUGCAGGGGAGACUGGAAUUCCUGGUGUAGCGGUGGAAUGCGCAGAUAUCAGGAGGAACACCUAUAGCGAAGGCAGCUUGCUGGGACGUUAACUGACGCUAAGGCGCGAAAGCGUGGGGAGCGAACAGG